rnacentral:rRNA from 1 species
AGGGUUUGAUUAUGGCUCAGGAUGAACGCUGGCGGCGUGCUUAACACAUGCAAGUCGAACGGAGUUUACAUGAAACCUAGUGAUUGUAAACUUAGUGGCGGACGGGUGAGUAACGCGUGGGUAACCUGCCUUGUACUGGGGGACAACAGUUGGAAACGACUGCUAAUACCGCAUAAGCGCACAGCUUCGCAUGAAGCAGUGUGAAAAACUGAGGUGGUACAAGAUGGACCCGCGUCUGAUUAGCUAGUUGGUAAGGUAACGGCUUACCAAGGCGACGAUCAGUAGCCGGCCUGAGAGGGUGAACGGCCACAUUGGGACUGAGACACGGCCCAA